rfam:Solobacterium moorei F0204 genomic scaffold Scfld16, whole genome shotgun sequence.
GGACCCUUAGCUCAGUUGGUCAGAGCUGUCGGCUCAUAACCGACUGGUCGAAGGUUCGAGUCCUUCAGGGUCCA